GUAUUUUCUUCUCUUGUUUCAAUUCUAGAAUUUUCUUUUAGGAUUUAAAUUGUAAUUUGGGUAUUAACAUAUUUAUUUAUUUAUUUUUACAUUGUUGUCACAAAAUGCACACAACAUAAAGCCUCAGCAUGAUGCACAAUUUUAAUGAGUUUUAUUAAUCCUUUGUUUUUAAAUGAGUUGUUCACAUGAAAUGAUAAAUAGAGAUGGAAUAUAAUUUCUCCUUUUACAUUUUUCUUACAAAGUGGGUAUUACAUAAUGCAUGAUAAUAUUCUAUACAUCGUAACGAUAUCGUAGGUUCAAGAAUCACUAAAUUCGGAGUUACGUAUGAUAAGUUAUGAUUUUCCGAAUAUUUUAUGUUUUUGGUACAAAAAUAACCAAGUGAUCAAUUUUAAUCUAGGUUUCAUGCUAAAACAGAGUUACCAAGUGAUAAACAAUAUUGUUACCAAAUUAAUGCAACUGGAAUGGGUUAAAAAGGAGUUAAAAUAAAUUUUAUAUGAAUUAAACAAGUUCUGGGAUUAUUUAAACACUAAAAAUCAUUUUCUAUAUUAAUUCCUCUGAUUUAUUAAGUGUCUGGACUGCGCGCACAAAUACCAGGAAGUUCAGGGGCUAACUCAUAAAAUCCCCAAGACUUAGAUUUAAAAUCUUUACUAUGCUCAAUGGACUGCGGGUUAGUUCCUAUUUUUCUCAGGUUUCUUUUGCAAAACGUCUGAUUGAAAGGGUAUCGGCUGAUACUAUCCUUCCGAUCUCCCCUAAACGGCCAAGAUUAGAUUUAACUAGCGAACUGGUACGCGAUGCCGACCCUAGGAUCCAAAAUCUACGGCACGGAUCUUAUUUGCCCCGGAGUCGCCUUGAUCCGCCCGAUCGGAUCUUAACGGUUCUGAUCCCCUUGCCCCAAUCGUUACGCUAGGAUCCAAUCUCAGCUGUCGCUACGGAAUCCAACGGUGCCAGCAACCCCAUAGUCACCCUAAUUGACCGAACCAGGGUGGCGCCGCCGGCAUUCCGUGGUGUUGACGAUUCCGGUGACCCUACGAUCAUCCCCUCGCGCCCCCCCCCCCUACCCCGACGCGAAUUAUCAUGUUGAUCCGCCCUUAGCCCAUCCACCGAACGCCAGAAGACCACUAAUUGGUCACCCGGUAUACCUGCCCCCGAGAGACGUUGAUCACUGGCCGCCACCGAACGCAGAUGAGCAAUUCAAGGCCAUCCCGCGAGUUAUAACCAGCCUAAGGCUACGCGACAUGAAGUCAAUUACCAGGAUGAGGGGUCGGGUAGGUACAUACCGAAGGGAAAGCGUUCACAGGUGGUUGUCCACGAUGCAGGGGGGAAGCGCAGCGAUUCUUGUCGCCGACGAGCUCCCCCUGGCGCCCCAGCCACCAAAUCGACCCGCCCCAAGAUCUAGGUGUACACCACGCGGCCGACGUCGAGUCUCCUACGGCACCGCAGUUGCCACGUCGGUGAAGCGGCCAACUCCGGUGAUGCUCUGCCCACCUCUACGCGAGAUUGCCGGCACUAGUGGUUUGGGUAGAUAGUGGUGACCGAACGGACAUGUGGAGAGGGGGCGACCUAUUUAACAGUACCAGACGGCCCCGACUGCGCCACAUGGGCCCAAUCCGUUACACGAUUUCCGAAAUCCACGGCGGCGAGUUCGGACAAGCGCGGCG
rnacentral:lncRNA from 7 species